GGUGUACUAUGUUUCCUACUAGAUGUCAAAGUUCUCUGGAGCUGUCACUGUCAUAUGUUGAUUUUCAGCUCAAAUUUUCUUCACCAACGAAAUUUAUUUCAAGGGAAAAAUAUUGAUCUAUAAUAUGUUUACCAGACUAUUAAAAAGAACUGUGCUAUUGUCAGCAGCACCAGUAACAGCUGCAGCAAAAGGAACCGAAAAUGAGCCACAAAAGCAAACUGUCCUUAAACCACAUGAAUUGCCCAUCUAUACCACGAUUUUUGGAAGUGAUAUUAAAAAUGCUCCGAAAACAGAUACCGACAGCACAAUUGUUCGAUCAUCGAUUGAAGGCGCUGUUGAAGUAGUUCGCGAAUGUUGCUGUGACUGCAUCAAUGCUGUCAAAGACAAGAAAAAGCCUAUCGACGAAUUUGUUGCGACAGGAAUCGAACAUAGUCAAUGUAGGUUCAUUUCAAUAAUCAAGAGUGUAAAACUCAUUUCAUAAAUUUUAUUUAUAGUAAACAGUACGUAUUUUGCAUUAAAGAUAAUAGGGUGGGCAUAUUUUGAAAAUUGAAGAAACAAAAGAUUACAGGGGCGCAUUUCAUAGAUCUUAUUGUUCGACGUAUUUUUCGACAUAAAAGUCAUAUAAACCUGUAUAAAAUGAAACCAGAUAUCGAUUCUUCGCCAAAAAAUAAGCGAUUAAAUCAUUAUUUUAUACGGGAACUGGCUAAACGUAUAUAUAUAUCGAAUAUGGUAAAAAAAGUUGCUGAAAAUCCGACACGGAGUUUCAUUUUAUAUGUCGGCAAUUCCACACAAAAUCAGAGAAGAGUUGUAAUGUGGGGUCGCCGAAUUGAAUGAAGAUUUUACAUAUAAAACGCUGAAUUGAGCCGAAAUCGGUAAACCAAUUGGUAUAUU